AUUCGUGUAGCUCAGUCAGUAGAACACAAGAUUCUUAAUUUCAGGGUUGUGGGUUCAAGCCCCAUGUCAGACU